GCUUAUCUAGUUUAACUGGUUAAAGCAGGAGUAUUUCUUUACUCUUAUUCAGGUUCGAGUCCUGGGAUAAGCU